ACGCUCGACACCUACGGGGGGCAGCAGUGGGGAAUAUUGCACAAUGGAGGAAACUCUGAUGCAGCGAUGCCGCGUGAGGGAAGAAGGUUUUCGGAUUGUAAACCUCUGUCUUUGGGGACGAUAAUGACGGUACCCAAGGAGGAAGCUCCGGCUAACUACGUGCCGGCAGCCGCGGUAAUCUGAGCGGGCUGGCAAGGC
rnacentral:rRNA from 1 species